GCAGUCGAGGGGUAUAGUUCUUCGGAAUUAGAGACCGGCGCACGGGUGCGUAACGCGUAUGCAAUCUACCUUUUACAGAGGGAUAGCCCAGAGAAAUUUGGAUUAAUACCUCAUAGUAUAGCACAACCGCAUGGUUGAGUUAUUAAAGUUACAACGGUAAAAGAUGAGCAUGCGUCCCAUUAGCUAGUUGGUAAGGUAACGGCUUACCAAGGCGACGAUGGGUAGGGGUCCUGAGAGGGAGAUCCCCCACACUGGUACUGAGACACGGACCAGACUCCUACGGGAGGCAGCAGUGAGGAAUAUUGGUCAAUGGGCGCAAGCCUGAACCAGCCAUGCCGCGUGCAGGAUGACGGUCCUAUGGAUUGUAAACUGCUUUUGUACAGGAAGAAACCCUCCGACGUGUCGGAGCUUGACGGUACUGUAAGAAUAAGGAUCGGCUAACUCCGUGCCAGCAGCCGCGGUAAUACGGAGGAUCCAAGCGUUAUCCGGAAUCAUUGGGUUUAAAGGGUCCGUAGGCGGUUUAGUAAGUCAGUGGUGAAAGCCCAUCGCUCAACGGUGGAACGGCCAUUGAUACUGCUAGACUUGAAUUAUUAGGAAGUAACUAGAAUAUGUAGUGUAGCGGUGAAAUGCUUAGAGAUUACAUGGAAUACCAAUUGCGAAGGCAGGUUACUACUAAUGGAUUGACGCUGAUGGACGAAAGCGUGGGUAGCGAACAGGAUUAGAUACCCUGGUAGUCCACGCCGUANACGAUGGAUACUAGCUGUUGGGAGCGAUCUCAGUGGCUAAGCGAAAGUGAUAAGUAUCCCACCUGGGGAGUACGUUU
rnacentral:rRNA from 1 species